rnacentral:rRNA from 1 species
AUUGACCUUUGGCGGCAGGCCUAACACAUGCAAGUCGAACGGUAACAGGAAGCAGCUUGCUGUUUUGCUGACGAGUGGCGGACGGGUGAGUAAUGUCUGGGAAACUGCCUGAUGGAGGGGGAUAACUACUGGAAACGGUAGCUAAUACCGCAUAACGUCGCAAGACCAAAGAGGGGGACCUUAGGGCCUCUUGCCAUCGGAUGUGCCCAGAUGGGAUUAGCUAGUAGGUGGGGUAACGGCUCACCUAGGCGACGAUCCCUAGCUGGUCUGAGAGGAUGACCAGCCACACUGGAACUGAGACACGGUCCACACUCCUACAGGAGGCAGCAGUGGGGAAUAUUGCACAAUGGGCGCAAGCCUGAUGCAGCCAUGCCGCGUGUAUGAAGAAGGCCUUCGGGUUGUAAAGUACUUUCAGCGGGGAGGAAGGGAGUAAAGUUAAUACCUUUGCUCAUUGACGUUACCCGCAGAAGAAGCACCGGCUAACUCCGUGCCACCAGCCGCGGUAAUACGGAGGGUGCAAGCGUUAAUCGGAAUUACUGGGCGUAAAGCGCACGCAGGCGGUUUGUUAAGUCAGAUGUGAAAUCCCCGGGCUCAACCUGGGAACUGCAUCUGAUACUGGCAAGCUUGAGUCUCGUAGAGGGGGGUAGAAUUCCAGGUGUAGCGGUGAAAUGCGUAGAGAUCUGGAGGAAUACCGGUGGCGAAGGCGGCCCCCUGGACGAAGACUGACGCUCAGGUGCGAAAGCGUG